UUCUUUUUGGUUUUUUAAAAAGUAAGACCUGCUCAAUGAUCUUUUAAAUAGCCGCGUUAUAACCGUGCUAAGGUAGCAUAAUAAUUUGUCUUUUAAUUAAGGUCUAGUAUGAAUGGUUAAACGAGGAAUUAACUUUUUUAAUUAAAUUAAUUUUAACUUUAUUUUUUAGUUAAAAAGCUAAAAUAAAAUUAAAGGACGAUAAGACCCUAUAGAAUUUUAUUUUAAAAAAUUUAUUAUAUUAUUAUAAUAAAUGUAUAAUAAAUUCUAUAAAUUUGGUUGGGGUGAUUUUUAUAUUUUAUUAACUAUAAUAUUUGUUUUUCGUUAUUAAUGAAAUUUUGAUCCUUUUAUUAAGAUUAAUAGAAAAAAUUACCUUAGGGAUAACAGCGUAAUUUUCUUGGAGAGUUCUUAUUAAUAAGAAAGAUUGCGA
rnacentral:rRNA from 1 species